rnacentral:rRNA from 1 species
UCCUGGGGCUGAAGUAGGUCCCAAGGGUAUGGCUGUUCGCCAUUUAAAGUGGUACGCGAGCUGGGUUUAGAACGUCGUGAGACAGUUCGGUCCCUAUCUGCCGUGGGCGCUGGAGAAUUGAGGGGGGCUGCUCCCAGUACGAGAGGACCGGAGUGGACGCAUCACUGGUGUUCGGGUUGUCAUGCCAAUGGCACUGCCCGGUAGCUAAAUGCGGAAGAGAUAAGUGCUGAAAGCAUCUAAGCACGAAACUUGCCCCGAGAUGAGUUCUCCCUGAGACUAUAAGUCUCCUGAAGGAACGUUGAAGACGACGACGUUGAUAGGCCGGGUGUGUAAGCGCAGCGA